UACGAAGGGGGCUAGCGUUGCUCGGAAUCACUGGGCGUAAAGCGCACGUAGGCGGAUUGCUAAGUCAGGGGUGAAAUCCUGGGAGCUCAACUCCAGAACUGCCUUUGAUACUGGCGAUCUCGAGUCCGGGAGAGGUGAGUGGAACUGCGAGUGUAGAGGUGAAAUUCGUAGAUAUUCGCAAGAACACCAGUGGCGAAGGCGGCUCACUGGCCCGAGUACGUGACGCUGAGGCACGAAAGCGUGGGGAGCAAACAGGAAUUAGAAACCCGUGGUACGUCCG
rnacentral:rRNA from 1 species